GGCGAAUGCAGGCUUUCACUGAAGCCUGGAGAGCGAGAGGGGUCGGUGUACACCGACCCCUCUUGCUCUCCAGGCUUCAAGAAGCUAUCCGCAAGCCUGCGGAGCCCGGCAGGAACUCCCGCGGGCUCCGAAGGCUUGCG